GAGUUUGAUCGUGGCUCAGAUUGAACGCUGGCGGCAUGCCUUACACAUGCAAGUCGAACGGCAGCAUGAUCUAGCUUGCUAGAUUGAUGGCGAGUGGCGAACGGGUGAGUAAUACAUCGGAACGUGCCCUGUAGUGGGGGAUAACUAGUCGAAAGAUUAGCUAAUACCGCAUACGACCUGAGGGUGAAAGUGGGGGACCGCAAGGCCUCAUGCUAUAGGAGCGGCCGAUGUCUGAUUAGCUAGUUGGUGGGUAAAGGCCCACCAAGGCGACGAUCAGUAGCUGGUCUGAGAGGACGAUCAGCCACACUGGGACUGAGACACGGCCCAGACUCCUACGGGAGGCAGCAGUGGGGAAUUUUGGACAAUGGGCGAAAGCCUGAUCCAGCAAUGCCGCGUGUGUGAAGAAAGGCCUUCGGUUGUAAGGUACACGUUUACGUUCCGGUAAAC
rnacentral:rRNA from 1 species